GCCUGGCUGGCUCAGUCGGUUGAGCGUCCGACUUCGGUUCAGGUCAUGAUCUCACGGUUUGUGAGUUCAAGCCCCACGUCAGGCU
rnacentral:tRNA from 1 species